CCUACGGGAGGCAGCAGUGGGGAAUAUUGCGCAAUGGGCGAAAGCCUGACGCAGCGACGCCGCGUGAGGGAUGAAGGUCUUCGGAUCGUGAACCUCUGUCAGCAGGGAAGAACGGUCACUGUGCUAAUCAGCAGUGAAUUGACGGUACCUGCAAAGGAAGCACCGGCUAACUCCGUGCCAGCAGCCGCGGUAAUACGGAGGGUGCGAGCGUUAAUCGGAAUUACUGGGCGUAAAGCGCUCGUCGGCGGUAUGUCAAGUCAAGGGUGAAAUCCCCGCGCUCAACGUGGGAACUGCCUUUGAACAUGGAAAACUGGGGGGUGUGGGAGGAUAGGGGAAUCCAAGGGGGAGGAGUGA
rnacentral:rRNA from 1 species